UUCGGGAUGCCGGCGAGUGGCGAACGGGUGAGUAAUACGUGGAAACCUAUCCCGAGGUGGGGGAUAACAGCUGGAAACGGCUGCUAAUACCGCAUAAGCCCUAAGGGGGAAAGAUUUAUCGCCUUGGGAGGGGUCCACGUCGGAUUAGCUAGUUGGUAGGGUAAAGGCCUACCAAGGCGACGAUCCGUAGCUGGUCUGAGAGGAUGGACAGCCACACUGGGACUGAGACACGGCCCAGACUCCUACGGGAGGCAGCAGUGGGGAAUAUUGCGCAAUGGGGGAAACCCUGACGCAGCGAUGCCGCGUGGGUGAAGAAGGCCUUCGGGUUGUAAAGCCCUUUCAGUGGGGAAGAUAGUGACGGUACCCACAGAAGAAGCUCCGGCUAACUCCGUGCCAGCAGCCGCGGUAAUACUGAGGGGGCGAGCGUUGUUCGGAAUUACUGGGCGUAAAGGGCGCGUAGGCGGUGCAGCAAG
rnacentral:rRNA from 1 species